AGAGUUUGAUCCUGGUUCAGAUUGAACGCUGGCGGCAGGCCUAACACAUGCAAGUCGAACGGUAGCACAGAGGAGCUUGCUCCUUGGGUGACGAGUGGCGGACGGGUGAGUAAUGUCUGGGAAACUGCCCGAUGGAGGGGGAUAACUACUGGAAACGGUAGCUAAUACCGCAUAACGUCGCAAGACCAAAGAGGGGGACCUUCGGGCCUCUUGCCAUCGGAUGUGCCCAGAUGGGAUUAGCUAGUAGGUGGGGUAACGGCUCACCUAGGCGACGAUCCCUAGCUGGUCUGAGAGGAUGACCAGCCACACUGGAACUGAGACACGGUCCAGACUCCUACGGGAGGCAGCAGUGGGGAAUAUUGCACAAUGGGCGCAAGCCUGAUGCAGCCAUGCCGCGUGUAUGAAGAAGGCCUUCGGGUUGUAAAGUACUUUCAGCGAGGAGGAAGGCGUUGUGGUUAAUAACCACAACGAUUGACGUUACUCGCAGAAGAAGCCCGGCUAACUCCGUGCCAGCAGCCGCGGUAA
rnacentral:rRNA from 1 species